UCUGGAGACGCAGACAGAAGCCGAAACUACAGCCACGGGAUAUCUAAAGUGCACAAGUGGUCGACUCUAAAUACUUAUCAUUGUACAUGAAACCGUGAAUAUAUCAUAUUUUAAACUUUGUCUCUCGAAUGGACUUUUAACAUUUGCCGCGGUACAUUUGUAAAAUCUUGCGCUCAACGCCUAAGCGUAAAACCUACCUUGAAAAGAUAAAUUAUUUGCAGAGACGAGUGAACGGGCAGUGUGGGGAUUGGUCCGAGGUGUGAUCUCCCACCCUCUUGCUCAAACCUGUAUGAAUUGCCAGAAACGGCUGGAUCCCCCAUCUCCACACCGCCAGGCGCAGGCCUGAAGAACGGAAGAGAUCCUACGUGGAGAUGCACCAAGCGGACGCCAGGGGAUAAACAGAACCAUCAGAUGUUGAAGUGGACAUAAUGACCCUCCCGAAAGGAAUUCACAAUCCAGCCAAAAGCUGCUUGUAGUAGCGUCAGAGUAACGGCUAGCAUCCCACGAAUCAGUAGAACAAUUUCUAACUAAUUUCCAUAGUUAUUAAUGCAGAAAGCGUUGUCUUAUAUUGUAUAUUCAUAAGAAUCCAUGAACGUUUUCUAUUUUCUGUUCAUAUGAACAGACUGUUCACAUUGUAGAUACAAUCAGUUUGAAUAUUCCGUUUAAAAACAAAUUGGAUGCACUAUGACUGUCAUAAAUGAUUCCCUUUAUAUAUUCAUCCACACUAUUUCCAUCCCUGUUUAAAAACCUUAGUACUUGUCCAUACUAUGUCAGCAGCACUACUAGAAAAUCCAUAAAUCCUGAUGUUUCUGACAUGCUCGAUUCCCUAAGUGCCUUUUGGAAAACUGAAAUUGCCUGUGAUGUUUUUCCCUAGUAUUUAAUCACCCCGCUGUGCUUUACAUCAUAAAUGCCAUUGCGUUUCCACGUAAUCAGAUCUUAUGUUAAACUGGUUCUCCUUGGACAUUUAUGCUGCUGAUUACACAAUCAAGAUUGGGCUCAAAUGAAAGCCGAGAGGAGUAAAUGGAACUCGGAUGAAGCUCGAUGACCGCCAUGACCGCGCCCUACUUUGAACAUUAAAUUCAUUAUGCGUCCUUCUGCGCCCACCCCCCCCGGUCCACGUUGGUUCCUUGAGCAGACGUCCGAUCUGUUUUUAGCCAGGCAAUGUUUGCUUCAGUGAACAUUCAACGCUGUCGGUGAGUUUGAGACAAAUCGAGAAAACCAUCGACCGUUGACUGUACCCUGCGGCCAGCCCUCAGCUGACCACCGACUCUCGGCAAGGAGACUACUUGAGUAGACAGAUACUAACAAGAGCGCCAAAUUUGUGCAACCCCCCCCCCCCCCCUCCUUCAGGCCCCAACCGUCCAACACCCCUCCCUGAUUUGUUCCCCUCGUGCAACAUUCAGCAAAGGUCACAAUCAACAUUCAUUGCUGUCGGUGGGUUUAACUGUGUGGAAAAGCUCACUGAACAAUGAAUGCCACUGUGUCCCAGAUUUCCUCUGCCAACGUCGGAGAAAAUAUUAGCAACGGAUGCGCGGCCUCGUUGUUUUCUGUUGUUUCUGUGGUGUUGCCCUCACCCGCUUAAUUUCCUCAGAUUGCAAUCUCCACGGGGGAGGAAAGGCGCAAGCUGACCCGGCGGAUGGGGUCGGCCCGCAUCAUCGUCAACGUCGCCGGAUUGGGGUCCGGGAGCGGAGGGAAGGAAGUGUAACAUGAAUGCGUAAUCAGCUGAAGGCUUUUCGCUGCCUCUCGUUAAGUUUGUCCCUUUCAUUUAACGAUACGCGGCUCUCCCUUAAGGUCAGUGUGGGUUCUGGGUCGCUGUGUUGAACAUAGUGUCCUAUACUGUUUCUUUUUUCCCUUUUUUUCCCCCCUUUUUUUGCUUCCUUUUUGGACGGAUGUAAAAUACUCCAUAAUCUGUCUGGGCUGUAUAGCUGAAGAUGUAAAUGCAGGCAGGACAUGACCGAGCUUGCACGCCACUGGAAAAUUGGAAAAUCCUGUCAUUUUGCGUCAGUUUUAAGCUUUGCGUAAUUCUUGCAUUAAACAAAUUCACAAGUGCAAUA